rnacentral:rRNA from 1 species
CCUACGGGUGGCAGCAGUAGGGAAUAUUGCUCAAUGGGGGAAACCCUGAAGCAGCAACGCCGCGUGGAGGAUGAAGGUUUUAGGAUUGUAAACUCCUUUUGUUAGAGAGGAUUAUGACGGUAUCUAACGAAUAAGCACCGGCUAACUCCGUGCCAGCAGCCGCGGUAAUACGGAGGGUGCAAGCGUUAUUCGGAAUCACUGGGCGUAAAGAGGGCGUAGGCGGGGUAAUAAGUCAGAUGUGAAAUCCUGUGGCUUAACUACAGAACUGCAUUUGAAACUGUUACUCUGGAGUGUGGGAGAGGUAAGUGGAAUUCUUGGUGUAGGGGUAAAAUCCGUAGAGAUCAAGAGGAAUACUCAUUGCGAAGGCGACCUGCUGGAACAUUACUGACGCUGAUGCACGAAAGCGUGGGGAGCAAACAGGAUUAGAUACCCGUGUAGUC